rnacentral:rRNA from 1 species
AAUCAACGCUGGCGGCGUGCCUCAGACAUGCAAGUCGAACGCGAAAGUCCCCCUUCGGGGGGCGAAGUAGAGUGGCGCACGGGUGAGUAACACGUAGGUAAUCUACCUUUGGUAUGGGGAAGUAAACAACCGGAAACGGUUAGCUAAUACCGCAUAAUGCAGCGGCACCUAAUGGUGACAGUUGUUAAAGCGGGGGAGUCGAAAGACCUCGCGUCUGAAGAGGAGCCUGCGGCGGAUUAGCUAGNGGUAAGGUAACGGCUUACCAA